AUUAACCUCUUUUUUGCUGAAUAUUAGUCCAAAUCAGUCAGAUUGAUUUGAGGGAAAGGAAUAACGAUCCUGCUCUCUCUCGGCUGCAAGCUGUUCUGCUGGGAUGAGGGGGAAGGAAGCUGAUGCUCUCCUGCUGCUCCUUCCGUCCCAGUCUUUCAUCUCGAGCACAUUUGUCUUUGGGGCUCUGCUGUUUGCUGAGAUCCUUGCGUGCCAGCACCAUGCAGUGACUCAAAAGAGGGACUGGUGCUUUGCAAAGGAGCUGUGCUGUGCCUCGGGCUCCUUGCUGCCAGCUGCUGCUCCCAUACUUCACAAGCUGUCAACGUUUCUGAUCCUGUAGCACUUGGAGCUAGGCGCUUCCAAAAAUGUUAUGUUCUACCUGUUCUCUGGGCAGGAGCAGAGGAACGUACGUGUGCCCCUGAGUCUAAGUAUUGUGUUUUAUGUCUAAUUUUAGGUCCGGCAAUACUGCUUUUUCUUCCUUAAAGCUAUUGGAAACGUUCCCACUAGGCAUGUCACUGCUAUUACUGAUUCUAGAAACUAGACAGCCUGAGCAGUCAGUCAGCUCUGUGAAGAUAUGAGGGGCUUUGAUUCAAUGAAAUUUCCACUGAGCAUUAGUGCUCCCCUUGAUCCUGCUUACGGGGGCUGAGUGGUAAAAAAUGCAGAUAAGCCAUCCUGCAACUUUUUAGGGAACAAAUGCUCUGUUGUAACAGGGACAACAUGGGCAAUGCUGGUUGAACACAGAGCAAAUAUCAGCUGAAUUUGUAGUGAAACAAGCUUAAUCUCAAGGCAAUGGCAAAGCAAAGAGAUAAUCUACUGAAAUGCCAAGAAGGAGGCAAAGCCCUGUGGUCAAGGUCUCUGCAGCAUCAACUACAAAUGGAAUUCAAAUGAGGCCAGUAGCUAUGUAGAGCAGCUUGGUUUUAAGGCGAUUAUCUUGCAGAGUGAGACUUUUUUAUGAAUGCGUCUAACAGUUUGCAUCCAUCUCUGAAUAUAGCAAUGGUUUUUAUAAUCUCUUUCAGAGGGGGACUUUGACAGAAACCGAAAGUGAUAGUGAUGUGGUGGAACAUAGAAACUCUUGCUUCCUUCCAGGCUGCUGUGUUGCAUUUUCACUUGCCCAGUGCAGAUCUGUGAAAGUUCCAUGUGAGUUUACGACCAUGAAUGAUAGCUUUAGGGAUAUGAAGUGCCGUAUAACAAACAGCAGAGAGAAAUAGCAUGUAAGUGGUGGCUUUUUCAAACUGCUUCAUCUCAUUUCAUCUUCUGUGAUUAAGAUUUCAUAGCUGUAGAGUGGGUGAGUGCCCUUUCAAAAAGGGAAUGGCUCUGUCCUUCGUGGUGGCUUGGCUGUGGGUAUGCAGAGCAGGUCCUAAGGGCUUGCUCAUUCAUCUUGGGGUUGAAAUCCCACCGUAGGCAGGGCCCUUCCACUCCCCUGCUGCUGUUGAAAAGCCUGUUUGGUUCAACGGGAGCAGAUCAGGGAAGAUUUGUGCUUCCAGGAGGGAAGGCCACAUCUUCCCACUGCUUUCAUAUGCUUCUGGCUUCCUUUGACAGCAACUGUCCUAAUUUAGCAUAGCAGAAAGCUGCUUUAAUUGAGAUAUUCUUUCUGUAGACUUUUGUGCAAACAGCAAACUGAGACUUCUUGUCUGCACUUUGCAAACCUUUCCCCCGACAGUGUCAAGCCCUGAAUUUCCACCUUCGCUCAUCUCCAUUGCAGCAGUCGGUGUGCUGGCGAAGGCUGCGAUCUGCUUACGUGCCUUCGGUCUCCUGGAGUCCUCUUGUUAAUCACAGAUGCUUGCAGCGACUUGUGGUAUUGUAAUUAACGGCCUUUCUGCACAUUGCUGUCAAUCUGCAUUUCUCAUGGCUCAUGAGCUUGGGAAAAUGCAGUACUUCCAGAGCACCUCAGCUGGAUCCCUGUGCAUUGUUGUUCCAGGUGUCCUGCUCUGACCUCCUGUUCCCUUGUGGCCUUCAGCCAUCUCAUUUGUGUGAUGCUGAGACUUCUGCUGGUCUGUAAUAAAGAGAUUUGUCUGGA